rnacentral:rRNA from 1 species
UCGAACGAUGAACCGGUUUCGGCCGGGGAUUAGUGGCGAACGGGUGAGUAACACGUGGGCAAUCUGCCCUGCACUCUGGGAUAAGCCCGGGAAACUGGGUCUAAUACCGGAUACGACACUCCAAGGCAUCUUGGAGUGUGGAAAGUUCCGGCGGUGCAGGAUGAGCCCGCGGCCUAUCAGCUUGUUGGUGGGGUAAUGGCCUACCAAGGCGACGACGGGUAGCCGGCCUGAGAGGGUGACCGGCCACACUGGGACUGAGACACGGCCCAGACUCCUACGGGAGGCAGCAGUGGGGAAUAUUGCACAAUGGGCGAAAGCCUGAUGCAGCGACGCCGCGUGAGGGAUGACGGCCUUCGGGUUGUAAACCUCUUUCAGCAGGGAAGAAGCGAAAGUGACGGUACCUGCAGAAGAAGCACCGGCUAACUACGUGCCAGCAGCCGCGGUAAUACGUAGGGUGCGAGCGUUGUCCGGAAUUAUUGGGCGUAAAGAGCUCGUAGGCGGUUUGUCGCGUCGAUUGUGAAAGCCCGGGGCUUAACCCUGGGUCUGCAGUCGAUACGGGCAGGCUAGAGUUCGGCAGGGGAGACUGGAAUUCCUGGUGUAGCGGUGAAAUGCGCAGAUAUCAGGAGGAACACCGGUGGCGAAGGCGGGUCUCUGGGCCGAUACUGACGCUGAGGAGCGAAAGCGUGA